AAUUGGCCCAUUCCCUUGAGUUGAUCAUGGCUCAGAGCGAACGCUGGCGGCGUACUUAACACAUGCAAGUCGAACGAGGAUCGUCGGGUUAGCAAUAAUUCGGCGGUCCGAGUGGCGUACGGGUGAGUAACACGUGGGUAACCUGCCCUCGAGACCGGGACACCCUCUCGAAAGGGAGGCUAAUACUGGAUACGUUCCCCGGGUCGCGAGACCUGGGGAGGAAAGGUGGCGCAAGCUACCGCUCGUGGAGGGGCUCGCGGCCUAUCAGCUAGUUGGUGAGGUAACGGCUCACCAAGGCGAUGACGGGUAGCUGGUCUGAGAGGACGACCAGCCACACGGGAACUGAGACACGGUCCCGACUCCUACGGGAGGCAGCAGUGGGGAAUUUUCCGCAAUGGGCGAAAGCCUGACGGAGUGACGCCGCGUGGGGGACGAAGGCCUUCGGGUCGUAAACCCCUGUCAGAGGGAAAGAAGGGUGUCGGCGUGAACAACGCCGGCAUCUGACGGUACCUUCAGAGGAAGCCCCGGCCAACUCUGUGCCAGCAGCCGCGGUAAGACAGAGGGGGCAAGCGUUGCUCGGAAUUACUGGGCGUAAAGGGCGCGUAGGCGGGAUGGCAAGUCGGUCGUGAAAUCCUUCGGCUCAACCGAAGAACGUCGGCCGAUACUGCCGUUCUUGAGGGAUGCAGAGGAGACUGGAAUUCCCGGUGUAGCGGUGAAAUGUGUANAA
rnacentral:rRNA from 1 species